rnacentral:rRNA from 1 species
GUCCUUUUGAUUAUAAUUUAAGGUCGGGCCUGCUCGAUGAGAUUUAAAUGGCCGCGGUAUUUUGACUGUGCGAAGGUAGCAUAAUAAUUAGUUUCUUAAUUGGGAGCUUGUAUGAAGGGUUUGAUGAAAAAAUAACUGUCUCUGAUUAAUUUAGUUAGAAUUUUAUUUUUAAGUAAAAAAGCUUAAAUAAAUGUAGUAGACGAGAAGACCCUAUAGAGUUUUAUAAUUUUAUUAAGUUAAUAUUAUUUAGUAUUCUAAUAUUGAUAUGGUGAAAAUUAUUUAAUUGGGGUGAUUGAAAAAUUUAAAUAACUUUUUUUUAUUUUUUACAUAUAUAUAUGAUUAAUUGAUCCUAAAUUUAAGAUUAUAAGAUUAAAUUACCUUAGGGAUAACAGCGUAAUUUUUUUUUAGAGUUCAUAUUGGAAAAAAAGAUUGCGACCUCGAUGUUGGAUUAAAAUUAAUUAUAGGUGUAGAAGCUUAUAGGAUUAGGUCUGUUCGACCUUUAAAAUUUUACAUGAUCUGAGUUUAAAUCGGCGUGAG